GACGAACGCUGGCGGCGUGCUUAACACAUGCAAGUCGAACGAGUGGCGAACGGGUGAGUAAUACGUGAGUAACCUGCCCUCUUUUUGGGAUAAGCCUUGGAAACGGGGUCUAAUACCGAAUAAAGGGGGAUGGGCUCGCGGCCUAUCAGCUUGUUGGUGGGGUGAUGGCCUACUAAGGCGGUGACGGGUAGCAGGCCUGAGAGGGUGAACGGCACAAUUAGAACUGGUCUACGGCCAUGACGCCUACGGGGGGCAGCAGUGGGGGAUAGUGCACACUGGGCGAAAGCCUGAUGCGGCGACGUCGCGAGGAGGAUGAAGGCUUUCGGGUUGUAAACCUCUUUCGCGAACGAAGCGGUAGGUGGAGAAGAAGCGCCGGCUAACUACGUGCCAGCAGCCGCGGUAAUAC
rnacentral:rRNA from 1 species